AAAAAACCGAGAAACGAUGUCGGAAAGUUACCCAAACAUCCACAAGAUGAGAAUCGGACCACUGGAAUGCGGUAAAACACUAAAACAAAGUCACCAAAAACCCUAAUCACCGACAACUCACCAAAACCACCACAAAAGCGAUCAAAAUGUUGUUAAACGCCGAGGUUGAGAAGAUACACUCGGAUAUAAUGGUAGAAAACCCUUUGAGCCAUAUCCGAUGAAGAUCGGAAUCAUCACAGACCGUCUGGUCUCAGA
rnacentral:lncRNA from 1 species